UAACGCUGGUUUUUUCUUCAGGUUGCACUUCAGUUUCCCGACGAGUUAUUAGGAGACGCUGGUGCAGUGUCGUGCAAUAACACUACAACUAGGCUUCACUGUUUAUAUCCUUGGUGAUACAACAUAUGGCAGCUGUUGCGUUGAUGAAGUGGCCGCAGAACAUGUCGGUGCCGAUGCCAUCAUCCACUUUGGCCGCACCUGUCUCAGCCCGUCUAGAAGACUGCCUGUUCUUUGUAUCCUCACAAGAAUACCAGUGGAUAUUCCUGCAGUCAUUUCAGGCUUGGAAAGUGCCAUUGAAGACCGGACAAGGGGUUUGAUCUUCGUGUAUGAUACGAGGUGCCAUUACAUUGCUAGUAAGGAGCAUGAAGCUUGGACUAGCCUCGCCAAACUUAGCAGGGUAACUGCGUAAACUGUGCAGGGAUGUAGUAUACAUGGGCUAAAACCUUUGAUAUGGAACCACAUAAAAGACUGGCAAGGAAAUUACAGGCCCAUGGAAUAAAUGGUAGAAUAUUAGAAUGGAUAAAAGUGGCUGAAACAAAGAACACAAAGGGUCGUACUAAAUGGAUCCAAAUCUGACUGGAGAAAUGUGGUAAGUGGGGUACUUACUGGGGGUACAUUUUGGGGCCAACCUAUUUAUCAUUUACAUCAGUGACAUAGAUGGGAAUAUUACAAACCACAUCAUCAAAUUUGCAGAUGACACAAAGAUAUACGGUAAAGUGGGAAUAAUGCAGGCGGUGAGUCACAAUAACGUGGCUGAAGUAUGUUGACCAGACCA